UUCCGUUUCAUUUAGUGCACCCUCAAAUCUAAAUCAAGACUACCAAUUAUAAGCACUACCACUAUUCACAAAUGCAGCCUAUCCAAAAAGGAAGAAAAAAAGGACAGAUCAAAACCACUGUCAAAUAUAAUAUGAAGACUUCUCACCCUAACAUAGCAUAGCAACUUGUUAUUAGAGAUUUACUCAACAUGAGAACGCAAAAUAAUAGUUCAUUAAGUCAGAGUGGGAAAAGGGGGGAAAAAUCAAAUCAAAUCAAAUCAUGUGAGGCUUUAACAAUGACUAGAUAAUGGAAGGAUGAGCAAUAAUUGACAACUAAAUUUGCUGAUAAUAUAAAUUCACAUCUGUAAAUCAUUUGCAAUCCAACUUAUGAUAACUACUGCCAGAAUUGCCCAAUCAUAUUCCCUCUAAUCCAAGGCAAUAUGAUUCUUCCAAGUUGAUCAUAAAGACACCAUGAUUCUCAAUAACAUAAUGUGAGACCUAUGGAACUUAUAUUUUAUGGUCUUGAUAACUUUCCAAACCAACAAUGCCAACCUCUGGUAGUGGCUAUCAAAAUGUUCAUUUAGUCUAAUACAAGUUAGAAUCAAUGCAACAAAGGCUUGCAAGUUAAAAAGCAAUGCAUAUUGAAUGCAUGAUUUGGCCAACCGAAAUGCACAUGUUGUAUGCAAAAUCUGUUGUGCAUGUGACACCAUCCUGGACAACCAGUACCGCUGCUCCUGGUAUAGCCAAGGAAGUGUCUGUGCUUCAGGGCCGUCUAAGAAUGUGCACAUCAAAGCAACUGAAAACUACAUAUAAGCCAUAAAAUCUAUUCAUUUGGUAACAAUGCAUUGCAUGUAUUUUUCUUACCUCCGAUUCCAAAAGAAUCAUUCUACAAAUUGUGAAGCCAAGUAAUAAUCAAGAAGCUGUUGCAGCAGCUUUACCAGACAAAUAUAUAAUAAACUUCUCUGAUGAGUUCACAUGAGCUAUUAAUCACACUUGCGCCUUACGUUGCCGCCGUCGCCACAAAGCAAAUCGUCCUCCUCCCCCUCUUCCUCUUCUUCUUCUUCUUCUCCUUCUCCUUCUCCUUCUCCUUCUCUCCGAAUUCCAUAUUCCAUUUUUGGUUUUGGUUUUGAUUCAACCUUUGGUUCCUCUACCUCUUGUUUGUUAUGUGGAGUUGUUCCAGAGCCAGGGCUAUUCGGGCUGCUUGGACCAUCAUGGGAGCGGGAGAGCUCCAUGGCAGCUCGGGCAGCAGCUGCUGCUUGAGCUGCGGAUUCGAAAGCGGCUUGCGCUGCAUCCGCCACAUCUUUGUACUUCUGUUGAGAACCAGAUGGCACUUCAGUGAAAAAUUGAAACUUCUCUUUCACUUCACUGUGUGCCUCUGCCUGGUUUUGCCUUGUGUUUCUGACUAGUUUUUCCUCAUUGGAAGGGUAAGGUUGGUCAAUCUGCAAUACAAUCCCAUUCUCAGAAGCAAUGGCUUUGAGGACCUCCAUUCUACUCUCCAAACUGGGCUGCCUUGUGGAAAGUUUUUGCAUUAACAAAUGAUUGACUCCACAAUUGUUGCGUAAUUCAACGGCACGAGCAGUGAAUUCCUUGCCAAAACGAUUGGUCAAAACUGAUUUGAUCUCAUGAAGUUCAGGGAAAUCUCCACAUCUGGAAGCAGCAAAUAUCAACCCUGCAACCGCUUCUUUCAAUUCCUCAGGGCACUCACUUUGUUGUUCGAGGAGGGUGGUUCUUUCAAGCAAGAGGUUGAGAUACCCUUCGAUCAAAACAUAGGCAUCCAGAGCAUUCUGAUCCACAAUCACUUUCUCGACUCGAAGAAGAGCACGGUGGUGGUGGGGAAGUUGGAGGAGUUGAAGGACGUCGGAAUGAGCCUGAGAGCAUCUGAGACGGCGUUGGGUAGUGAGGAUGGAAAGGCGAGUGACGGCAAGACUGAGAAGGGGACGGAAUUUGGAGGCUCUGAAAUUCCUACCAAGAAAAGCGUCAAGCUUUUUUCCCAUGGCGAAAUGGGUUAAUUCAGAUUAUGUGGAAUUUCAAUUGAUUUGUUUAUAUACGGUUGUUUCAGAGUGGAGAACAGGGC
rnacentral:misc_RNA from 1 species